rnacentral:lncRNA from 1 species
AGCUACCCACCCUCGCUGUCCGUGCGGGGUCGAGGCUGGGACCCGGGUGAACAGGGACUGCUCUAAGGCGUCACUGUGACGGCGUUAAUCAAAAUAAAUCAUUAAUCAAAUGCA